rnacentral:rRNA from 1 species
GAUGAACGCUGACAGCAUGCUUAACACAUGCAAGUCAACCUGUUGCGGACGGAUGAGUAACGCGUAAAGAACUUACCUCACUGUUAGGGUCAACAUAUGGAAACGAAUGCUAAUACAUAAUACUGUGAGAGAGCUUUGCGGCCCAUUAGCUAGUUGGAAAGGUAACGGCGCACCAAGGCGAUGAUGGGUAGCCGGCCUGACAGGGUGAUCGGCCACAAGGGGACUGAGAAACGUCCCUUACUCAAACGGGAGGCAGCAGUGGGGAAUAUACGACGAUGGACCAAAGUGUGAUCAAGCAAUUCGGUGUGCACGAUGAAGUUUUCGGAAUGAAAAGUGCUUUUAGUUGCGAAGCGGUACCUACAGAAGAAGUGACGGCUAACUACGUGCCAGCAGCCGCGGUAAUUC